rnacentral:rRNA from 1 species
GAGCACGUAGGUGGGUUUGUAAGUCAGAUGUGAAAGCCUUCUGUUCAACGGAAGAAUUGCAUCUGAAACUGCGAGUCUUGAGUGUAGGAGGGGAGAAUGGAACUUCUGGUGGAGCGGUGAAAUGCGUAGAUAUCAGAAGGAACGCCGGCGGCGAAAGCGAUUCUCUGGCCUAUUACUGACACUCAGUGUGCGAAAGCUAGGGGAGCAAACGGGAUUAGAUACCCCGGUAGUCCUAGCCGUAAACGAGGGGCACUAAGUAGAGGGGUUUU